rnacentral:lncRNA from 1 species
GGGCGGCGUCGCGGGUGGGGACGGGCUUCCUCUGCGGGCGGGUCUGCAGCUCCGCUCCCGGCCCCUCGGGCGGCGUCACGGCCAGCAAAGCGCCCGAGGCUCCCUUUCCCCGGUUGUUUCCCGUCACCCGGGCUCUAAACUUCACGGCGGAUCUGUGUUCCAGUGGAUUAGAAGAACGCACCCGGCAGGCUUCAGGGAGCUCCAGAGGCGACUCCAAGUAACGGGUUUAGGGGGCCGGCCCGCGGCCUGGCGGUUAGAGUUCCUGUUCUCCGCUUCAGCCCGUCGUGGAUCCAGACCAUCCGCCUGUCAGCAGCCUGCUGUGAGGACGGCCGCACGGAAGAACUGGAACCGCUGAAACUAGGUUUUCCCACCAGGUGCUCAUGGAUCUUACCUACGACAACCCAUCCUUGCUACCAAUACAGAACACCAGCACUGUCUCCCCAGGACCUCACGUGUCUGGCACACGGAAGAUACCCUUGGCCUGACCCUUCAGGCAUCUCCGGGAGAACCGUCCAACAGCUCUGGAUCCUGGUUCUUCCUGAAGGCAGCUCCCAGUGCUCUGCUUACUUGUUCCAGAGUCUAACACUUCAUUUCCAAUGAAAUCUACCGUCAAAGAUGCAUCAUUACGUCCCUCCAGGACCAGGCUCUAACUCUCUCACCUUGCCUGGUCACUUACCAUUUUCAUACAUGUAUUUUCCCACUUCUAGGAAUUUGAUCUUCAGUCCCCAACUCAAAUGCCCCAUUGCUCUCACCCAGAAAACAGUCAUUAUUUUCCAGAGUCAGAUGCCACCUGUCCGCAAUGCAGAGCUAUCUUCUCUUGAUGUGCUGCAUGUGACGAUUCCCUGGGCCUUUCUGGCUGUUUAGGAGUUGGAUAUUAUAAUAUUUAACUGGCAUGAGAAUGAUUCUGAAAGGUUGAAUGACUUGGAUAAUAAGAUAACUCCAUAGGCCAAGCAAAUGUUUCUUUCCAGUAACUGAAUUAUUUAAAAAAUAUUUGACAUCUUCUUAUGCAG